GACUAAACUUGAAAGCCAGCUCCUUCUGGUUCAGACAAACAUUAAUCAGUAGAAACAGGAUUCAUUUCAUUCUUCCUAUGAAUCUGAAGAACACUGCACCAUAUGCACACCUUCUCUGUACAGCCCACAGACUGCUUGUGGCAGUGUGGACUCAGUGACUGACCAUUAAGCACUGGGCUACCCCUGGAUGCAUAGUUGCAGAAAAUGGCUGUGAGACGUUCAGCUGUUAUCAGCAAGGCAUAAAAUUCCUGCAGAUUCCAAAAAAUUAUGAACCCAACCCAAAAGUUACCUGUACUCAGGACAAGAUAUUUGGGACCUUUGACAUAACAACUGGAACUUUAGCGCAUACAAAAACCACACAGAUACUUGAGUUCUGACUAUGAAGCUUGCACGUUCAGAUUUCAUAUACUCCAAAUUUCCGUAUAACCCUGGUGAGCUAUAUGAGUAACUCUAAGCAUAAAUAGAUGACUUGAAACAUUAAUUCUGAUCCAAUAAUUAUAUAAGUAUUUUAUCUAAAAUAUACCGGAAGAGAUCAGGAGACUUCCACAUGAUAUAAUUUCUUAUUGUGCUGAGGGAGAUGUGGGUCUAAUUCAGGUAAGGAACAGAACUGAAUCUGAGUCUCCUCUGGGUUUUCCCCUCCCAUAUAACCAUUACAGGGUUAAGUAAAUAUGUGGCAUCACUACUUCCAUGCUAAUAUGGGUAAGUGACAAGUGGUUUUGGCAGCUAACAACCAUACUGAAUACUGAAUACUGAAUUUGGCUUAGCAUAAGAGACUGUUUCUCAGUAUUUAGAAAUGGCUUUUUUAGCUUGCUGGCUAUUGUGAGCUUAGAUGCUCAACUGAAUAUGAAUUCUGCUAAAAGUUCAAUACCACAGCUAUUAGAAUUGGUACAUCUCCUUCAUUUAUUCCCUCACCAGUUUUAGAAAAAACACCUCAAGUAUCCCCACUUACCCCAGAAAAACAUCAGACACACAUAUCAUCAGAUCAAUAAUAGAUUUAUUUUCCUUCUCCAAGAGGGAUCAACAGAAGACUGCCCAACAGAUAUCCCUAAACAGCUAGUUAAAUGAUACACUUCUGUUUACAUUCCUUUUUUCUCCCUUUUUAACUUCUCAAUUUUUUCCUUUUACCACCCUCAUCCACUCCCAAAUAAACAGGCUGUUCCUACUUACUUUUUCCUGUUGUCCCUAAUUUUGCUCCUUUAUACCUCUUCAGUGUUUGUGAUAUGUUUGCACUGGUAAUUUCUAGCUCCAUCAGCAAUUCCUUUAAGUUAGUGACCCCUUUUUGUUAUCAAUCAGUUCUCAUUUCUGCUACUUCU